rnacentral:rRNA from 1 species
AGGACGAACGCUGGCGGCGUGCUUAACACAUGCAAGUCGAGCGGUAAGGCCUCCUUCGGGGGGUACACGAGCGGCGAACGGGUGAGUAACACGUGGGUGACCUGCCCUCAGCUCUGGGAUAAGCCUGGGAAACCGGGUCUAAUACCGGAUAGGACUGCUUGCCGCAUGGUGGGUGGUGGAAAGUUUUUUCGGCUGGGGAUGGGCCCGCGGCCUAUCAGCUUGUUGGUGGGGUGAUGGCCUACCAAGGCGGUGACGGGUAGCCGGCCUGAGAGGGCGACCGGCCACGACUGGGACUGAGACACGGCCCAGACUCCUACGGGAGGCAGCAGUGGGGAAUAUUGCGCAAUGGGCGGAAGCCUGACGCAGCGACGCCGCGUGGGGGAUGAAGGCCUUCGGGGUUGUAAACCGACUUUCAGGAGGGAAGAAAUUGACGGUACCUCCAAAAGAAGGUCCGGCCAACUACGUGCCAGCAGCCGC